UACGUAGGGAGCAAGCGUUGUCCGGAAUCAUUGGGCGUAAAGCGCGCGUAGGCGGCCCUGUAAGUCCGUUGUGAAAGUCAAAGGCUCAACCUUUGAAAGCCGAUGGAUACUGCAGGGCUAGAGUCCGGAAGAGGCGAGUGGAAUUCCUGGUGUAGCGGUGGAAUGCGCAGAUAUCAGGAGGAACACCAAUAGCGAAGGCAGCUCGCUGGGACGGUACUGACGCUAAGGCGCGAAGGCCAGGGGAGCAAACGGG
rnacentral:rRNA from 1 species